GAAAUACUCCCUCCGUUCCAUAAUUCUUGUCGAAAUAUUACAUGUAUCUAGAUGCUUUUUAAGAAUGGAUACAUCCAUUUUUGGGCAAAUUUGAGACAAGAAUUAUGAAACGGAGGAGUACUAA
rnacentral:pre_miRNA from 1 species